CAGCCGCCGCGGUAAUACGUAGGUGGCAAGCGUUAUCCGGAAUUAUUGGGCGUAAAGAGUGAGCAGGCGGCUGAAUAAGUCUGAAGUCAAAUCGUGGGGCUCAACCCCAUUUCGCUUUGGAAACUGUUUGGCUAGAGUACGGCAGAAGUGAAGGGAACUCCAUGUGUAGCGGUGAAAUGCGUAGAUAUAUGGAAGAACACCAGUGGCGAAGGCGCUUCACUAGGCCGAAACUGACGCUCAGUCACGAAAGCGUGGGUAGCAAAUAGGAUUAGAUACCCUAGUAGUCCACGCCGUAAACGAUGAUAACUAAAUAUUGCCGCGAGGCAGUGUUGAAGCUAACGCAUUAAGUUAUCCGCCUGGGGAGUACGGUCGCAAGACUGAAACUUAAAGGAAUUGACGGGGACCCGCACAAGCAGUGGAGCAUGUGGUUUAAUUCGACGCAACGCGAAGAACCUUACCAGGGCUUGACAUAUUGAUUACUACCCCCUUAGAAAUAAGGGGAGACUAUAAAUACAGGUGGUGCAUGGCC
rnacentral:rRNA from 1 species